rnacentral:rRNA from 1 species
UACGGAGGGGGCGAGCGUUAUUCGGAAUUAUUGGGCGUAAAGGGCGCGUAGGCGGCCCUGUAAGUCAAAGGUGAAAUCCCUCGGCUCAACUGAGGAACUGCCUUUGAAACUGCAGGGCUUGAGGCCGGGAGGGGGUAGCGGAAUUCCCAAUGUAGCGGUGAAAUGCGUAGAUAUUGGGAGGAACACCGGUGGCGAAGGCGGCAUCCUGGACCGGCAUUGACGCUGAGGCGCGAAAGCCAGGGGAGCAAACGGG